UACGUAGGGUGCAGGCGUUAAUCGGAAUUACUGGGCGUAAAGCGUGCGCAGGCGGCUUCCUAAGUCAGAUGUGAAAUCCCCGGGCUCAACCUGGGAACUGCGUUUGAAACUGGGAGGCUAGAGUGCGGCAGAGGGGGGUGGAAUUCCACGUGUAGCAGUGAAAUGCGUAGAUAUCUGGAAGAACACCGGUGGCGAAGGCGACAUCCUGGACCGGUAUUGACGCUGAGGCGCGAAAGCCAGGGGAGCAAACGGG
rnacentral:rRNA from 1 species